rnacentral:rRNA from 1 species
AACGAGUCUGCUUCUAAUCGUCUUC